rnacentral:rRNA from 1 species
CAGUCGUACCUUCGGGUAAUCAGCCUUUCGGGUGCGAUUCUGUGGAGUUUGAGGAGCUUAACACCUUCAUGCUUUGCAUAUUCGUGCUCUUGGGUGUACUUGCCCGUGUGGUUGGUUAACAUCAAUUUCGGGCACCAUAAAAUGGCUGGAGGAAUGUAGCUUCGAUCUUGUAUUGAAGUGUUAUAGCCUUCGGUAGAUGUGGUUAUCGAGAUUGAGGAUUGCAACGGAUACCUUUCGGGGCUACCUGUCUGAUCUCUGAUCGUUGCUUUGGUGCUGAAAGCGUGCUUAUAGUUAUCAAAGUCGAUGGUCAAUAGGUUAGAAUGGGUUAAAUUCGUUAAGGAUGUUGACGUA